rnacentral:lncRNA from 1 species
GCAGUCGGUCGGACUGAGCCCUGAAGGGCGGGUCGGGGGAAAAGGCUGUCUCAGGGAUCAAAUAUUUUAGUUUUUGAAUUGUUAACAGUAAUCUUUCUUUGGGGGUCUGAAGCAAUUUCUCAGAUGAUUCAGUUUAAAAAGGCAGCAAUAACAACUACCCUUUGCCUUGACUAUUAAUAGUUCAGGCAAGGGCUUGUGUGUGGAGAAUGGUCAAGGUUAUCUAAAUAGCUUAUUUGAAAUUCUAUGUUUUAGAAUUUAGUCUGAGUGAAGGUGACCAGGGGCCAAAUAGAAUUGAUUAUUCCUGGAGGACUGUGUUUCCUGCUUAUUGUUCUUUUAACCUUGUCAGGCAGGAAAAUUCUGUAACAAGGGUUCCUGCCAAGUUUAAUAUCAGUCUUGGCAUUUUCUUUGAAUCUUCCUUAUAGUUUCAGAGCAACCUCUGAUAACUGGCAGAAAUGAUUAGUGAGCUUUCCCAAUAUCUGUGAGGGUUCCAAACCCAUUGACUUCUGGAAGAGCAUGUGAUGUGUGCCCUGAUAUAAGGGCUGUCACGUGGUUUCCAUUCUGAAGGUGAGUCAGCCUAGCUUGGGACCCAAAAUUCUGAAAUUGACUGGUCCAGUAAGCAUUUCCUGUGUUUCUGUAACUCAGAGACGCAAACCACACGUCUUCCUAGGUCAGAAGGCUGUAAUUUACCUGGGGUUCCCCUUUCCUGUGAUUUGCUGUGUUAGUGCACAUCACCAGCUCAGUUCCUUUUUUUGAUAAUUUGACUUUGACCUCCAGGUUCCAGCAGCUAUAUUGGUAAGAGCUGGACAGAGGAGGGGCAGCAAGUGCCAUGGACGGAGGUCACUGGUAGACUUGAUCUUCCUAGUUUAGGUGGUAGCUGGGGCUGAGCAGGAGAUGAUGGGAGUAGAAGGCUAAGGAAUCCAGUGUUAACUCAUGUCUAGGAAUUUCUGAGUGCAGCUCCUCUGUCUGGGUGGGAAAAGAGAACCUGGCUCCUAGGGUAGAAGGUGACUAGGUAGGGCUUGGAAACUAAACAUAUAUUUUAGUGGGGCUGAUGUCAUUUUUAGGGAAGUAAAGCACUGUGUUGUGUCAUGCAUGCAGGUAAGAUACAGGUUAUAGCGAUGAUGGUCAAACCAAGCCAUAGGGUGACCAACCAUCUUAUUUUGCUCAGGGUUGAGGGGUUCUCUGAAAUGCAGGACUCCUGCUAAAACUGAGCACUAAAACUGAGAUACUUCCAGGCAAACUGAAACACUUCCAGGCAAACUGAAAUAGUCAUCCUACCCUUGAGUCUAUCUCAACAUUUAACUCUUGCCACUUCUAGGAAGGUAGGAAGGACUAGUUUAAAAUUUUUAUAUUUUGCUUUCUAAAUCCCUUUCUCUCAGACAUUAAGACAUUCAGAGCCAUCUGCAGAGGGUAAAGUCACAAAGGGGUGCAUGUGUUUCAAGGGUUAAGUGCAGAGGAGGGAUAGAACUGUCCCUACCCCUCUGCCUUGGGGAUUGAAGACACAGGGGAAAGAGGUCUUUUGGAUGGUUAGUUGUAAAUGAGCUUCAAUAAUAAUUGUUAUUGUUACAAUUAUUAUAAUAUAAUAAUAACAAUAAUAAUUAUUAUUUUGUUACCGGCUGCUUGCUGCCUACACAAAGUCACUGCCCACCCCUGGGGCUCCAGGCAGCUGAAGGGAGGGAGUCAUCAUAGGAGAUAUGACAAAACUAUUUGUAGUUUUAAGACUACCGCACUAGAAAUUUUUUUUAGACCCUUAGUUACUUUCAUAGUUUUAGAAAGGAAGUUGCUUAUCACUCGGAUAUCAGUGGAAGACACUGAAAUUUAUAUGUGUAGCCACUGUCUCCUCUGGUCUUAUAGACUAGAGUUCUAGAGUCUAAAUAUUUCUGUGUGGAUACACUGCUAUUAUCACAGCUUGACACACUUAAAACAAGACUCCUUACCUUCUCUAUACUCUUACAAGCUAAGUCUUCUUCUCAAUAUCCUUAUUUCUAGCAGUGACAUCUCCGUUUCAUUUGUUCUCUGGGCUUGAAAUAUCAUGGAAGUUAUUUGGAGAGGCCUUCCCUGACUACUGCAUCCCACCACUCUCCACCCAGUGCCCUACUUUCUUUUUCUUCAUAGCACUUGGUUACCUGAUUCUAUGUGGAUGUACUUAAUGGUGUGGUUUUAUAUUGUCUUCCAUGUGCGUUGGAGGAUAGGCUUCAUGAGGAUAGGGACUUUGGUUUGCUCCUCACUGUGUCCCCAGUGCCCAGUAUAAUUCUUAGCACAUAAUAGGUCCUUAAUGGGUAACUAUGGGAUUAAUGAAUGGCUUUUCCAUGGACUGUGAAGCCUGGCAGGGAAGGGACUGUUUUUUGUUUGUUUGUUUGUUUGUUUUUGAAUGCAGUCCAACUUUUAGUAGAUGCUUAAAGAAGCAUUCAGGUUUUUGAGGGGACAGUUUUUUUGCUUUUAAUCCUUUCUCCUCUAAUCCAUCUUAAACACUACCACCAAAUGAAUCUUCCUAAAAUUUAAUUUUUUAUUGUCAACUGCCUGUUUAAAGGCCAAGAUCAUUUCUCAUUGCCCACAUAAUGGACUCCUGGAUCCUGCAUGUUGAAUUUGCUUGAUUUAGUAUUCUUGGAAUUCAGGCUCUCUAUGGUCCGAUCUUCUCCUGUUCUUCUCCCACAAUAGCCCUUUGCUCCACAGAGAGGUUUCUUCACAGGCCAAGAAACAAUUCAUUCGCAUUGCUGCUGCUUCAUUUAUUUUUGCUCACACAGUUGUUUCUACCUGAAAUGCUGUCCUCUUUCUACUUUGUCUUCCUUUCUUCCUUGAGGUCAAGUUCAAUUUCCUGUGCUCCAAGAAGCUACCACUGCCCAUGGCAGCACACCUUGAUCUCUCCUUUCUGUGAAUUUCAGUUGCCUUUGGGGCUUGUACUCUACAGGCUGGCACUGGAUGGAUUACCGUUUUGUACAACUCUGUCAUUGUUUCCUGUGGGCUUGCCUCAGCUCUGUGGAAGACAAAAGCUUUGUAUCUUUCAUGGUGUUAACAUAGAAUAGGAGGCUAAUCAAUAUUAGUUACAUUGACCUAAAAGUCAGUGCUGAGAUAGAGAGGGCAAAGUGACCAGUUAAGGCUCUCUUGGGAAGUUAUUUCAAGCACAGUAGCCUGUCCUUGGCUCAGAGCCUUGGUGUUGAAAUUGCCCAAGACCUGGCAACUUGGCUUAGUUUCCUCCACUCUGGUCUCCUCACCUUUCACUUCCACUCCCAACUUAGUGUCUGACAUUGUAGCCAUUGGCUCACUCUGGGCACCCUCCAGCCUGCCCGUGGUACAAAUCAAGGCAAAGGAACAGACUUUAUAGGCAUUCUGCUUUUGUCCUUCAUAACUUUUGGUCAAGCAGAGCCACCAGCUGCUGGGGCAUGCAGACUGUGCUGGAAGCCUUGAAUAGCCAUGGGUGGUGUGGUUAGAAUUACCUGCACCCUGCUGCCUACAUACCACUUCCAGAUUAAACAAUAUACUUUACAAGUUUGAGUCAGCACAAGGAAUUUUCCCCAAGCUCAAAUGCCAAUUGGUCUUAAGGGUAUAGGGCUCUAAAGUCAAGCAAACCUGGGUUCCUCCAAAUCCUGACUCCUCCAUUUGCUAAGGCCUGACCUUGGGCAAGUGACUUAACUUCUAUAACUUCUACUUCCGUAUCUGUGAAGUGAGAGUUAUGAUAGCCCCUAUUAAAUGGGGUGUGGUGAUGAUGAUAAGCCCCUAUGAAACAGAUAUGAUGAAGAGUGAAUGAGAUAGAGCUCUGUAAGGGACUUAGGCAGUUUCUGGCACAAAUGAAGCAAUCAUUAAAUGAUGGCUGUUAUUAUUCAAUUGUCUUUGCCUCUUGCUCUACGUCGGCAAUUUCCAUGAUGCUUUAUCCCAGCCCGGGACAUUUGCAUUCCUUAGGUGACAUUUAGGUAGCUUCUAGUAAGGUCCAAAAAUAUUUGUUGAAGCCAGCCAUGUACCUGACACUGUGUUAAGCAUAGUUAUAGGAAGCAGAAUGUGUGAUGGCUCACACCUGUAAUCCCAGCACUUUGGGAGGACAAGACGGGCGGAUCAGGAGGCUGGGAGAUCAAGACCAUCCUGGGCAACAUGAUGAAACCCUGUCUCUACUAAAAAUACAAAAAUUAGCCGGGUGUGGUGGCACAUGCCUGUAAUCCCAGUUACAUGGGAGGCUGAAGCAGGAGAAUCACUUGAACCCAGGAGGUGGAGGUUGCAGUGAGCCGAGAUCAUGCCUCUGUACUCCAGCCUGGUGACAGAGCAAGACUCUGUUUCAAAAAAAAAAAAAAAAUGCAGAAUACAAACUGCAUUUGCCCUCAAGAAGCUUAUAGUGAAGUAGAGGACACAGACUGUAAACGAGUUAUUAUUGUAUAUUGGGAAAGGCACCGUAAUAGAAAUUUAUACCAGAUGAACAAAAAGCACAGAAUGAGACAGGUAUUGAUGCCCUUUGGGGAGGAGGUAGUCAAAGAAGGCCUAAGGGUAAAUGAUUCCUGAGAGGCUUGGGAUGUUAAAGGAUGGAUGGUGUUCACCAGGUGGUUCUGGGACAGGGUGUUGUUCAGGGCAUGGGGAGGCCUUGAAUGAGAUGGGACUGCAUGUGAAAAGGGAGGAUGAAAGAUAAAGCAUCACAUGGUCCAAGAGAAGUUAGACAAGUUGGUGUUAAAUCAUAAAGGAUGGAUUUUGGGAAAUGGCAGAAAAUGAGCAGGAAGCAGUAAGUAGGAGCCAGAUAAUAAGCAGUUGUAUCAAUAAUCACUUAUUCAUCCCAUGCCUAGGAAUUGCUGACCACUCCCUUCUAGAAACACAUUUCUCCUUUGCUUCCACGAUACCAUAUUCUGCUGGUUUUCCUCUUACCCUAUUCUGGACAAAACUCAGGAUCUUUAUCUCAAUUGUCCUCUUUAUCUAACCUACAAAUGUCAGCAUUUCUCAGGACUCAGUCCUGGAGCCCCUUUUCUUAUUCCACAUGCUCUCUUCAGUGAUUUAAUUUACUGCCAGGGCUUCCAUUGCUGCUUCUACACAGAUGACCUACAAGUCUGAGCUCUAGACCUGUGUAUCCCUCUACCUAUUCUACAUUUUGACUUGGAUGUCUUGCAGGUAUCAGAAUUACUGUGUCUAAAGCCAAAUUCAAUAUUUCUACCCCAUAAACUUGUAACCAUCUUUCUUAACCUAAGCUGCACCAUUCACCUAGCAGCUCAGGUUUGAAGUCAAGGAGCCAUCUUUUCCUCCUUGCUCUCCAUCACCUCUCCAAUGUGAAAAAUCACCAAGACUUGUGGCUCACGUCUGUAAUCCCAGCACUUUGGGAGGCUGAGGCGGGUGGAUCACGAGGUCAGGAGAUCAAGACCAUCCUGGCUAACACAGUGAAACCCCAUCUCUACUAAAAAUACAAAAAAUUAGCUGGGUUUGGUGGCGGGUGCCUGUAGUCCCAGCCACUCGAGAGGCUGAGGCAGGAGAAUGGCGUGAACCCGGGAGGCGGAGCUUGCAGUGAGCCUAGAUUGCACCACUGCACUCCAGCCUGGGGCGACAGAGCGAGAAUCCGUCUCAAAAAAAAAAAAAAAAAAAAUCACCAAGACUUAUCAUUCUACCUCUUAAACAUCUGUUAAUUCAAUCUGCUUUCUAUCUCCUCUGCCACCCUUCUAGUCUAAGAUCUCAUUGCCUCCCCCAGACCAUUUAGUAUGGCCUCACAGCUGGUCUCUCUGCCUCAGGUUUUGGCCACUCUACUCCACUUCAAGCCAGUGUAGUCUUUUUAAAAAGUGCAGACUUGGCCAUGUCACUCUUCUCUUUCAAAUCCUUCAGUGGUUAGCAAAAAGUUCGUGGAAUAAAAAAAAAAUAAAAUCAUUCAGUGGAUCCCCACUUUGCCCUUUGGAAUGCCCCAGAUUCUUUGCAUGGCAUAUAAGCCACCCACCAUCCUGUCCUUGUCUGCUUUUCCAGCUUCAUCCCAUAUCCCUCAACCCUCACUCUCUGGGUGCCAGUCACACUGUUCUGUUCCUUUGCAGACGCAGGUUCUUCCCCAUGUAGUUCUUUCCAUGUGGAGAGAGCACUUUCUUCAUCCCCUGUGGUCUGGUGAACUCUUACUCAUCCUCCAAGUGUCACUGUUCUCUCAUUUCCUCAGGGAAGACCUUUCUUGUCACCUAGAUAAGGCCAGUUCCCUUUGCUGCAUGCUCCCAUGGCCACCUCACUUUCCUUUUCAUAACUCUGUUGUCUGUCCCCAUUUCAGGGCUGCAGUUCUACUCAGGAGCGCUCUCUGUCUUGCUCAGUGCAGUGUUCUCAGAACUAGGGCAGUGCAUAGUUCCUUUGAGGUGUUUGAUACAUAGCGACCAAUCUAUCUUCGACUGAACUAUAUCCUAUAGGCAAUGAGAGACACUGAUACAUUUUACACAGCAAAACACUACAAGAUUGGCAUUUUAAGUAGAUCACUGUGGCAGAGUGCAGGAUGGUUAAGGGAGGGGCAAAACUAGAGGCAGCUAGUGAGAUGUCGUUACAGUAAUUCAGGCAGGAGACCAUGAAGAACUGGGCCAAAACAGAGGUAAUGGGGAGAGAAAGAGACAGACUGAGUGAUAAAUCAGAAAACCUGGCAGACUUGUGCUGUGGAAGAGGAGUCACUUGGGGCUUGGGAGUCACUGGGGUGACUCCCAAGUGUGGGAAUGAGAAGAGGAAGAACACCUCUGGUGAGAAAAAUGAGUUCCAUCUUGGAUUUAUUGAGUUUGGGCUGUUUAUGGGACAUGCAGGCAAAGAUGUUCAUCAGAUAGUUGUAUGUGAAUCAUGAAUCAGGAGCUCUAGAGAAAGAUUAGUUCUGAGGUCACUGCCCCUACUGUUGCAGCAAUCCAGGCCCUCCCAUGAUUCCUUUCUUCUCCAGCAUUAUUUCCCUGGGUCAGUUGUUCUCAGCCCUGGCUCCACUUUACAAUCGUCCUGGGUUAUUAAAAACUACCAAUGCCUGAGACUUCCCCAAGACAAAUCAACUCUGAAUUCCUGGAGGUGAUUUUAGUGUGUAGCCAGAAUCAUGGACUACUUCCUAGAUGACUUCCUCCAGUUCCAUGGUUUGAGACUCCUUCAGUGCUCUACAGAACUUUCUGCAGCAAUGGAAACGUUGCAUAUCUAUGCUGUCCAAUAUGGUAGCCACUAGCUACAUGAGGCUCUUAAGCAGUUGAAAUGUGGUGAAAACUGGUGGCCUGAAUGUUUAAUUUUGUUUAAUUAAUCUAAAUUUAAAUUAAAUAGCCCCCUAUGUGUGGUUGGUGGCUACUCUAUUGGACAGGACAGCUCUAUACGCUAAUGAAUCUGAAAUUUGUUUCUCUCCUGAGCUCCAGGCUUACAUAUUGUCUGAUUUGCAUCUCUUCUUGGAUAUCUAAUAGGGUGUCUUUAAGUUAAUGCAUGCCAGAUGAAAUUCUUGAUUUUUUUUCUUCAAAACUUGUUUACCUCCUAGUCUUCCCCAUCUUGGGACACAGCAUCACUUUCCACCCAAUUGCUAAAACCCCAAACAUGGAAGCUAUCUUUUAUUCCUUUUUCCCCCUCUCAUCUCCCUCUUCCAGUUUUUCAGCAAGUCCUGUUAGUUGUAUCAAAUUGACACCUUGACUCCAUCCACCCCUUUCCAUCUCUAGAAGAGCAUAGGAUAGUCACAGCUAUUUUAGUAAGUUACUGCAUCUUCAGUGUGUGCCUUCUGAGACCUUUCUAUGUAUUAACUUACUAGGCCUACAAACAGCUCUAUGAGGUAGGUAAACUAAUAUCCCUAUGUUUAUAGGUGAGGAAAUUGAAGAACAGAAAGCUUUUGCAAAGUGCCUGGGAAUCAAACGGCUAGUCAGUGGUGGGGAUGGGACUCAAAACCAGAUAAUCUGGUUCCAGGGUCCAUGUUCUUCACCAUUCAACACUGUGUCCCUCUGGCUGGUUCCAAGGCCCCACGUCAAUGUUUUCUUACUCUGGUUACAUGUUAGAAUCACUUGAGAAACUUAAAAAAAAUACCAAUUCCUCAACCCCAUUCCAGGUCAGUUAAAUCUCCUGAAGUAGGGCCCAGGCAUCAGAAAAUGGUAGAAUAUUCCAAGGACUUUUCAUACAUAACUAGAGUUGAGAACCAUUUCCUCUAUGUGACCUAGCCCCUGUCUGCUCCCCCAACCCUAGCUUUUACCCCUAACCUUGCUCAUGCUGUUUUCAGCCCUUCUUCCUGCCCCUAGAAGAGGCCAAGCUCUUUGCUGCCACUGAACUUUUGUGCUUGUUCCUUCUCUGCCUAGAACACCCCUUCCUGGCAUAUUCUGGGGAUUGAGUAUGACUUUAGAGAUCCUAAACCCUGGAAAGAUUAAGGGUCCUCUACACUGCCCAUCUAAAUAAAAAUAAACACAAUAUUACAUUUUUAAAAUAUGUAUAAGGAGGGGCCUACAGCAUUCUCAUUUUCCUAAGGGGUCUACUUCCAUGUCUUUUUUGAUGUAUAAAAAUAAACAUUUUCAAAGGAAAUUUUGGUGCUUCUACCUUACCAGUACCUUAAAUAUACGCUUAGCUUGUUUUGGGGAAUCCAGACCUAAAUCUUUUGGACUCAUCCCAAAUGUCACCUUCUCAGGGGGACUUCUCUUAUCUGUCCUUUCUAAAGUGGCAUUCUUCCCUUCCUGAGACCCAUCUAUCACACCAUUCUGGUUUUCUCGUAUUUCAUAGAAAGCAUCAAAAUUUGUAAUUGUCAGGUAUAGUUUUUAGUUUACUAGCUUAUUGUUUGUCUUCUUUAUGAAGGAGGGUCCUGUCUGUCUUAUUUGUUGCUAUAACCUCCUCACCUAGUGCAAUGCCUGAUACAAAGUAAGUGAUAGUUCCUGAAUGAAUGAAUGAAUGAAUGUAGGCUCAUGGAUGGCAAGCAGCACAGAGUAGAUUAUAAUCCCAAGGCAGAUAGACUCAUUUGGGUUGUUACCUUGUAAGACACUUUCUUCAUGGGGUGGGAAGGGAGAAGUGAAUUCAUAGAAAGAGAGGACUGUUGUUGAAAGAGGGAGGGCCAUGGCCUCUGCAACCUGGUGAAGUCUCAGAGCUCAGGAUAUGGCAGAAAGAACAUGCUGUGAUGUUGCAUGGAUUCUGGGUGUGGUGAGAGCUGAUACUUACUUUUGGAUAGUCAUUUCCCUGUGUCUUCUCCAAACUUUCAGUAAAGUUUCUUAAACUCAACAGCUAAGUGUUUUGUUAUUUGGAAAAUUGAGGAAAGACCAUGUGUUCAUGCUCUGCUUUGGGGGCCAAGAUAAGCAAGAGAGAUUGGUGACAGCAUAGAGAAAUGGUGAUAAGAAAGCUAGAAGUGUUUGGGGGCAGCAACAACUAGAAUGGAUUUGUACAUUAGCAUCUAACUUUAGAAUUCCCAGAAUUAUUGUUAUUUGGAUAGUAGAGGAAAGAGUGACUCUUGGAUGGCUAAAGAAGUCGAGGUUAUUCUGGUUGCAAAAUUAAUAAGUUAUUUGGUAAUUAUGUGUUUAAUGUCUGUGUCCCAUGACACAGUAGACUUCCUCUGGAUAAUGAUUGUGUGUGAGUUGUUUACUACUAUGUUGCUGGGUUCCUGGCAUUGGGUGGGCACUCAAUAAAUAUUUGUUGAAUGAAUGAUUGGUUCUGGGUGUUUUUCUGUUUCUAGGUUAUAAGUCAGAAGGGUCUGCUGAAAUGUGAUGAGGAAAACUAGAAGAAAAGUCCAGGCCCUGAGAGUGAAUACCAGACAGAAGCUGGGGGUGGAAGAGUAUCAAUAUGCAAUAUGCAGACUGAUUUGCCGAGGAGGAUUCAGAUAGGAGAUUCAGACUCCCAGAACAACUAAAAGGAUAACAGGCACUGUCAAAGAUCUAGACAGAAGGGCCAGAAAAGCAGCAGUUGGAACACACAGAGGGACUGUUGGUGAGAGAAGCUGCCCCUCAAUGCUCAUGUCAGCUCCUGGGAUACUCUUGAUCCCCAGGCAAUGGACUUAAAGAAACAAACAUUCCUAGACCCCAUUUGGUUGUGGGGCGGGGCUUCUCAGCGUAUUGGCUUUGAUGCUCAUUGGCCAAGGGCUGCAGCGGGCCAGAAACUAACAGUGGAACACAUUAUCAUUGGCAGCACAGGGAUAGACAGCAAAUGUUAGACCUUUUUAAUACACAUGUUGCCUAAUUCUUUGGGAGUGACACAGAAUUCUUAAAACAUGUUUAGGGGUACUUGAUUCCUAAGAUCCUCUGUCCAUCUGUGCCCUCCUCUCCCCUAAACCCACAUUUACGUCUUUCAUUCUCAAGGUUCUAAAAGCUGGAUCUUAAAGGCUCGAGUGACUAAAAUCUAUGGCCUGAUCCCAGAACUAUUUCAGUUUCAAAUACCAAAAGUACUGCUAGUUUGGUUCUCCCCAUUUGUAAGUACCAGCUAGGUUAGAUAGAGUAGGAAGUUGGCAUGUAACUCAAGGCUGCAUAGGGUUG